rnacentral:rRNA from 1 species
CAAUAGCGUAUAUUAAAGUUGUUGCGGUUAAAAAGCUCGUAGUUGGAUUUCUGCUGAGAACGACCGGUCCGCCCUCUGGGUGUGUAUCUGGCUCUUUCUUGGCAUCUUCUUGGUGAACGUUGCUGCACUUGACUGUGUGGAGCGCUACCCAGGACUUUUACUUUGAGGAAAUUAGAGUGUUUCAAGCAGGCAUACGCCUUGAAUACAUUAGCAUGGAAUAAUAAGAUAGGACCUCGGUUCUAUUUUGUUGGUUUCUAGAGCUGAGGUAAUGAUUAAUAGGGAUAGUUGGGGGCAUUCGUAUUUAAUUGUCAGAGGUGAAAUUCUUAGAUUUUCGGAAGAUAAACUUAUGCGAAAGCAUUUACCAAGGAUGUUUUCAUUAA